CUAACAACACGAGGCAUCCUAACACCACGAGGCAUCCUAACAACACGAGGCAUCCUAACACCACGAGGCAGCCUAACAACACGAGGCAUCCUAACAACACGAGGCAGCCUAACAAAACAACAAAUAUUCUCACUAUAUUCCCUCCCGGUAGACUAGAACAGACUGUCUGAUAAACAUAUGAACAGCAUGUAUCUCUCUCUCACACACACUAGCAUGGCUGUGUAUCUAUCUGAACAGUGAUCCUAUUGUGAAGAGGUGGUGGAAGACUGAGUCCCUAUAGAGUCUUAUGGGCCCCGGUCAAAAGUAGUGUACUAUAUAGGGCAUAGGGUGCUAUGAAAGAGGCAGACGAACAGUGGUCUGACACCAGACACCGCCUCAGGCCUCUCUGUGCUGCUGCAGGACCCAACAUCUGCUGCCUGGUCUGGGAUAAUGCAAAAUGUUCAUCUCUCAUGCCCUUUCUACACAAAUACACACGCAAGCACACACACACACACAAUAAUCUCUCAUGUCCUUUCUCCUGAGGACUGGGCCAUGCCAGAGCAGUGACCUGCCUCUAACUCUCCCAGGCAACACAUCAGAUGGUACACUACACUACACACACACACACACACACACACACACACACACACACACACACACACACACACACACACUGGUUGUGACUUGGGGGUAGAAAGAGAAACACACAUUAAAACAGAUGUGGUCUCCACAAAGCCAAUGUUGUUGGGAUGUUACAGACAGUCAGGUGUGGUCUCCACAAUGCCAGUGUUGUUGGGAUAUUACAGACAGUCAGGUGUGGUCUCCACAAAGCCAGUGUUGUUGGGAUAUUACAGACAGUCAGGUGUGGUCUCCACAAAGCCAGUGUUGUUGGGAUAUUACGGACAGUCAGGUGUGGUCUCCACAAAGCCAGUGUUGUUGGGAUAUUACGGACAGUCAGGUGUGGUCUCCACAAAGCCAAUGUUGUUGGGAUGUUACAGACAGUCAGGUGUGGUCUCCACAAUGCCAGUGUUGUUGGGAUAUUACAGACAGUCAGGUGUGGUCUCCACAAAGCCAGUGUUGUUGGGAUAUUACAGACAGUCAGGUGUGGUCUCCACAAAGCCAGUGUUGUUGGGAU
rnacentral:lncRNA from 1 species